rnacentral:rRNA from 1 species
GAUGAACGCUGGCGGCGUGCCUAAUACAUGCAAGUCGAGCGAACGGACGAGAAGCUUGCUUCUCUGAUGUUAGCGGCGGACGGGUGAGUAACACGUGGAUAACCUACCUAUAAGACUGGGAUAACUUCGGGAAACCGGAGCUAAUACCGGAUAAUAUUUUGAACCGCAUGGUUCAAAAGUGAAAGACGGUCUUGCUGUCACUUAUAGAUGGAUCCGCGCUGCGUUAGCUAGUUGGUAAGGUAACGGCUUACCAAGGCAACGAUGCAUAGCCGACCUGAGAGGGUGAACGGCCACACCGGAACUGAGACCAGGUCCAGACUCCUACGGGAGGCAGCAGUAGGGAAUCUUCCGGCAUGGGCGGAAGCCUGACGGAGCAACGCCGCGUGAGUGAUGAAGGUCUUCGGAUCGGAAAACUCUGUUAUUAGGGAAGAACAUAUGUGUAAGUAACUGUGCACAUCUUGACGGUACCUAAUCAGAAAGCCACGGCUAACUACGUG